CAGCAUUUCAGCUGCUAAAAGAAUUGAAAUGCAUCAAGACUGUAAAUAUGGAAGGCAAGGAGCUGCAGUGGUUUCAUUGUUUCCUGCUGUCCUGGCAAGAGACAAGGUGUUCACCGGUACUGAAGAAGUGCAGACCUAGCUGUUUCAAGGGUAAUUUCUGCCUGGGCAGGACUUUGGAAGGUGGAAGAAGUAAGAAUGAAGAAGGUGAACCAGAAAGACCUUCAGCAUCUGCAGGUCAAGGCAAGAUGCCAAAUGGCUCAGCUGGGGACAUAUCCAGGCACUCGUACACUUCUAGUACAGCUCAAACAAAGCCUGAGGAUCUGGAAUUUUGUGCAAACAUGCAAGGGAUGUAUGGGCAAGGGUCUCAGAUGAGGGACAAUCAGGUCCCUCAUCUGAGGGCUGUUGCCUUCUGGGUGUCUAAUGUACAGUAUGCUUUGCCACCUCAGCUUUCAGAACUGUCAGUGACUCAUUCAGUGAGUGAUGGAUUAGAGCCAAUAUUACCAAUUCCUUUGCGUAACAAAACAGAAGUAACAUUUUUGUUUUCUAGGAAUACUUUCUGUGUCUUAUGUCAUUCUCUAAUGAAACUUCAAGAACCUAAAUUUAAAUAUUAAGAAAUGUUAUGUUAACUGUCCAUAUACCCUGUACAGUCUGGAUUAUGUAUAAUUCCUUGUUUAAGAUUUUGGCAAUUUUUCCACUAAAUACCUGGCUCCUAGCUGAAAUCUGCUAUAGCUUUGAAAAGACAAUGAAGCUAACUGAAACUGUAACUUCAGAGGCUCUAAGCAGAACCCGGUGCAGUGACUACUGCAGAGGAAAAGCAAGCAAUGACAACAGCAACUAUCAAUAAUGACCAUCUCAGGGACUCCAAAAUGAGUGCCCGCUGCUUAAAUAGGGCAGUCACUGGCCUGAGACAAGGAUUAGUUAAGCUUUAUAGAGAAGGUAAGAUUGACUGCAGGUGUUUGCAGCCACCUUGACUGUUUCAGUCCUUGUGCUCAUUACAACCCCAUUGCUCUCAGCAUCUCCAGGCUGCAACAAUAACAGACUUUCUCUGACUCUGCAAGUCUGUGUCUGUGUUGCUUGCACAAACCCCUGCUUUGGUGUGAAGUCAGACCUGUGAGAAUAUAUCUGGUAUAUUUCUGAAUUCAUGAACAUAACCGCACUUACUGUUGAGUUGAAUGUACAAGUGAUCCCUGUACUUGCAUGCCAUGUAGAUACAGACUAAUCGUAGAUAACACAGUGGCAUGUGGGCAUAAGGUAGGUACUGUGGCUCUCAUAAAUCAUCCAAGUGCUCUUGGAUAAUAUGUGUUUUUAUGUUAUUUGGUACCAUAUAUGACUAAAUACAUACAAUAAAAAAAUCAUCCACUAAAUGAAAAUUGACUAC
rnacentral:lncRNA from 1 species